CCUUAUUCCUCGGGGAGAAGCCGGCCGCCACAGUGCCGUGUAAUUUUUCUGAUCACCUAGUCCGACUGUAGUUAAAGACUUCCUGCAGGGUGCGUGUCAGGACUCCUGCAUCUAACUCCCCUGGGGUAACACUCAGAAUGCCAGUGACCCCUAGUCUCCCAGGGAGGGCCUGGCCAAUAUGCAUCCUUAAUCAGGCUGUUAGUAAUCCAAAUGAUUACAAAUGGUUGGGUUCCACUAGAAUUCGCCUGCCUAACGUCUGUCGACCCGGCUAAAUAGAACUUUGCCUCUGGCCAGGACCUUUUUGCGCGUGCAAGUUUGCAUUUCUGCACCAACCCGGAUUCUGGCACACCGUAGGCACGCGAUACAUUUCAGUGAAGAAGAAAAACAAAAACAAAGGGAAGGUGCCGGGCCACAGUUUGCAAGACUUCCAUUUUGUCAUGGCUGUAAGAAAGAGGAGGAAGAGAUAACCAUGAGAACAGAACUGAUAUUAGGAAUUUGGCCCCAGGGAAGAAGUUUCCAGGGAAAGGCGUAGAGUCCACGUAGGUACAAUUUGACUUAAUGUUCUUUCUAUUUCAUCAUGGGUGGUUAUUCAGUACAGAAUGAGGGCACUGAAAAAGUCUGAAUUAUCCAAGAAAAAUGAUACUUUUUCGACUCGUGGUUUAGUUUAUUGGCAUCCAAACCUGCUUCCUAAAAGAUGACACAUUUACCACUUUCCGUGUUUAAAGAUUAGGAAGUAUUUCUGGGGCACCCGGCCGGCUCCGUUGGUGAGGUGUUUGUCUCUUGAUCUUGGGGUCAUGAGUUCAAGCCCCAUGUUGGGCAAAUUGGGUGUAGAGAUUACUUAAAAAUAAAAUCUAAAACUAAAUAAAUAAAUAAAAAUA
rnacentral:lncRNA from 1 species